rnacentral:rRNA from 1 species
CACGUAGGGGGCAAGCGUUGUCCGGAUUUAUUGGGCGUAAAGAGCUCGUAGGCGGUUUCGUAAGUCGGGUGUGAAAACUCUAGCUCACCAUCAGAGACGCCACCCGAUACUGUGAUGACUAGAGUCCGGUAGGGAGUGGUGGAAUUCCUGGUGUAGCGGUGAAAUGCGCAGAUAUCAGGAGGAACACCAACGGCGAAAGGCAGCACUCUGGGCCGGAACUGACGCUGAGGAGCGAA